CCCACGCCGAAAGACCAAGGGUUCCUGCGCAACGUUAAUCGACGCAGGGUUAGUCGGUUCCUAAGGCGAGGCUGAAAAGCGUAGUCGAUGGGAAACAGGUUAAUAUUCCUGUACUUCUGGUUACUGCGAUGGAGGGACGGAGAAGGCUAGGCCAGCUUGGCGUUGGUUGUCCAAGUUUAAGGUGGUAGGCUGAAAUCUUAGGUAAAUCCGGGGUUUCAAGGCCGAGAGCUGAUGACGAGUCGUCUUUUAGAUGACGAAGUGGUUGAUGCCAUGCUUCCAAGAAAAGCUUCUAAGCUUCAGGUAACCAGGAACCGUACCCCAAACCGACACAGGUGGUCGGGUAGAGAAUACCAAGGCGCUUGAGAGAACUCGGGUGAAGGAACUAGGCAAAAUGGCACCGUAACUUCGGGAGAAGGUGCGCCGGCUAGGGUGAAGGAUUUACUCCGUAAGCUCUGGCUGGUCGAAGAUACCAGGCCGCUGCGACUGUUUAUUAAAAACACAGCACUCUGCAAACACGAAAGUGGACGUAUAGGGUGUGACGCCUGCCCGGUGCCGGAAGGUUAAUUGAUGGGGUUAGCGCAAGCGAAGCUCUUGAUCGAAGCCCCGGUAAACGGCGGCCGUAACUAUAACGGUCCUAAGGUAGCGAAAUUCCUUGUCGGGUAAGUUCCGACCUGCACGAAUGGCGUAACGAUGGCGGCGCUGUCUCCACCCGAGACUCAGUGAAAUUGAAAUCGCUGUGAAGAUGCAGUGUAUCCGCGGCUAGACGGAAAGACCCCGUGAACCUUUACUGUAGCUUUGCACUGGACUUUGAGCCUGCUUGUGUAGGAUAGGUGGGAGGCUUUGAAGCGUGGACGCCAGUUCGCGUGGAGCCAUCCUUGAAAUACCACCCUGGCAUGCUUGAGGUUCUAACUCUGGUCCGUAAUCCGGAUCGAGGACAGUGUAUGGUGGGCAGUUUGACUGGGGCGGUCUCCUCCUAAAGAGUAACGGAGGAGUACGAAGGUGCGCUCAGACCGGUCGGAAAUCGGUCGCAGAGUAUAAAGGCAAAAGCGCGCUUGACUGCGAGACAGACACGUCGAGCAGGUACGAAAGUAGGUCUUAGUGAUCCGGUGGUUCUGUAUGGAAGGGCCAUCGCUCAACGGAUAAAAGGUACUCCGGGGAUAACAGGCUGAUACCGCCCAAGAGUUCAUAUCGACGGCGGUGUUUGGCACCUCGAUGUCGGCUCAUCACAUCCUGGGGCUGAAGCCGGUCCCAAGGGUAUGGCUGUUCGCCAUUUAAAGUGGUACGCGAGCUGGGUUUAGAACGUCGUGAGACAGUUCGGUCCCUAUCUGCCGUGGACGUUUGAGAUUUGAGAGGGGCUGCUCCUAGUACGAGAGGACCGGAGUGGACGAACCUCUGGUGUUCCGGUUGUCACGCCAGUGGCAUUGCCGGGUAGCUAUGUUCGGAAAAGAUAACCGCUGAAAGCAUCUAAGCGGGAAACUUGCCUCAAGAUGAGAUCUCACUGGGAACUUGAUUCCCCUGAAGGGCCGUCGAAGACUACGACGUUGAUAGGCUGGGUGUGUAAGCGUUGUGAGGCGUUGAGCUAACCAGUACUAAUUGCCCGUGAGGCUUGACCAU
rnacentral:rRNA from 1 species